UACGGAGGAUCCGAGCGUUAUCCGGAUUUAUUGGGUUUAAAGGGUGCGCAGGCGGGAAAUUAAGUCGGCGGUGAAAUUUUGCAGCUCAACUGUAAAAGUGCCUUCGAUACUGGUUUCCUUGAGUGUGGAUGAAGUAGGCGGAAUUUGUGGUGUAGCGGUGAAAUGCAUAGAUAUCACGAGGAACUCCGAUUGCGCAGGCAGCUUACUAAACUACUACUGACGCUCAGGCACGAAGGAGUGGGGAUCAAACAGGAUUAGAUACCCGGGUAGUCCCU
rnacentral:rRNA from 1 species